AAAUGUACAUGAAGACACACGAAAAAACUAGGCUUACUUCAGCAAAAGAGCUUUCCAGGCCUGUUUCCCAGACUGGAGGGCUGAGGACUUCACUGGUGUGGUGGUAGCAGCUGUUUGUUGUCAAUGCCUCUCCAGUGGCACUGAGUACUCCAAAGAAUUUUUACCCUUCCUUCGUCACCACUCUGCUUGGAUGCCUUUGUAGUGAUGGGAGAAAACAUCUAUGUGAUGCCAAAGGUGAAGUUCCAUGUCUUGUCCAAGUUUACAAACAACUUAUAUCUAUUUAGUGGGUGAGAUCC
rnacentral:lncRNA from 1 species